rnacentral:misc_RNA from 1 species
GAGCUGCGCCCGCAACUCCUCGACAGGUUCGGGAUGCAUGCUCAGGUGGGUACUGUCAGAGACGCCGAGUUAAGGGUUAAAAUUGUGGAGGAGAGGGCGCGGUUCGAUAAGGACCCGAAGGGCUUCCGGGAGACGUAUCGGGCGGAGCAGGAUAAGCUGCAGGAGCAGAUUGGGGCGGCACGGAGCACCCUGGGUUCGGUUAAGAUGAAUCAUGAGCUGACAGUGAAGAUAUCAAAGGUGUGUGCGGAGCUGAAUGUGGA